AUGCUUCCAGGGCCGAGUUCUGGUGACCUGUCCAGCGGCAGAAGCCACGUCUGGUUGUGUGUGUUUGUGUGUGUUGGGGUUAGUCUGUGUUGUUGGAGAAACAGUGAGAAGAGAACAUAUGCCACUAUGAGACACCUGGAGAGAGCUGGAUGGGGUGGCGUGGCAGGAGGCAUGGCGAGGCAUGUCUGGUGGUUGCUGGAGGAGGUGAAGCCGGCCACAGGGGUGUAGACAGUGCAGUUCAGGAGGAAUAAAGGGACAAUAAGGAGCCA
rnacentral:lncRNA from 1 species